rnacentral:rRNA from 1 species
CUAUAAGACGAGAAGACCCCAUGAAGCUUCAAAUAAGUCAUCAACUGUUAACUUUACACCACCAGAUACCUAAUAGCCGUGACUACUAAUUUUUGGUUGGGGCGACCACGGAGUAAAACAAAACCUCCACAAUGAAAAGACCUAACCCAUUAUUCAAGAACAACAGUUCUAACAAUCAACACAUUGACAUAAUUGACCCAACCCCCCUUUGAUCAAUGAACCAAGUUACUCUGGGGAUAACAGCGCUAUCUAUUUCAAGAGUUCAUAUCGACAAAUGGGUUUACGACCUCGAUGUUGGAUCGGGGUAUCCCAGUGGUGCCACCGCUACUAAAGGUUCGUUUGUUCAACGAUUAAAACCCCAC